UAGGGAAUCUUCGGCAAUGGACGAAAGUCUGACCGAGCAACGCCGCGUGAGUGAAGAAGGUUUUCGGAUCGUAAAACUCUGUUGUUAGAGAAGAACAAGGACGUUAGUAACUGAACGUCCCCUGACGGUAUCUAACCAGAAAGCCACGGCUAACUACGUGCCAGCAGCCGCGGUAAUACGUAGGUGGCAAGCGUUGUCCGGAUUUAUUGGGCGUAAAGCGAGCGCAGGCGGUUUCUUAAGUCUGAUGUGAAAGCCCCCUGCUCAACCGGGGAGGGUCAUUGGAAACUGGGGGACUUGAGUGCAGAAGAGGAGAGUGGAAUUCCAUGUGUAGCGGUGAAAUGCGUAGAUAUAUGGAGGAACACCAGUGGCGAAGGCGGCUCUCUGGUCUGUAACUGACGCUGAGGCUCGAAAGCGUGGGGAGCAAACAGG
rnacentral:rRNA from 1 species